rnacentral:rRNA from 1 species
CAGCAGCCGCGGUAAUGCGUAGGGUGCGAGCGUUAAUCGGAAUUACUGGGCGUAAAGCGUGCGCAGGCGGUUGUGUAAGACAGGUGUGAAAUCCCCGGGCUUAACCUGGGAACUGCGCUUGUGACUGCACAGCUAGAGUAUGGCAGAGGGGGGUGGAAUUCCACGUGUAGCAGUGAAAUGCGUAGAGAUGUGGAGGAACACCGACGGCGAAGGCAGCCCCCUGGGCCAAUACUGACGCUCAUGCACGAAAGCGUGGGGAGCAAACAGGAUUAGAGACCCCUGUAGUCCCUGUCUCUUAUAC